GGAGCCCACCACCAGGACGUCCCCCUUACCAAACAGCAGGGGCUGCAGCACACUCACUGCCACACACACACUCCUGUCCUGCAGAGCAGACAUGCACAAACAGACAGGCAGRGGUAGCAGGUAUGAGGUGGUGAGGCUGCUGUGCUGUAGGAAAGCAUGCAGACCCUGGGAGAAGACCAGGGUGUCUGGACAGAGAGGGUCCCUGCAAAACUGGGAGUCCGUGAGGCCUUCCUUUGAACCUGCUUUGCUCCAGUGCAACCAUGAUGGGUGACACCGAACCUUCUUUUAAAAUGCGAGACCAAUAGAUGGAGCAUGACUGCGUGGGUAGACGUUGGAAUGUGAACGUUGCAGUAAAGAUGUCAAAGUCACACACCUGAGAUCAGGAAGAAGGAAAGCAAUUGGUCCCACCCACGCCCGGCUCUCCAAGGAAUUCAGGUAGGCAAACACACACACAUGUGGAGACGCACACUCUUACACAAUGUUGAAUAAGAGAUGAAGGCUGCCUCUCUGGAAGUGUUGAAACCGAGCUGCAUGAUUAAACAAGUGUCAUAUCUGCUGUGUAGAGGACGAGAAUGAAGAAUCACUGUUUUACUUUCAGUUCAGCUGGAAAGCAGGAGCCUUACUUGGUGAAAAGUGGGGGGACCUGCUGAUGCAAAGAUGUCAAGUUUCAGGUUUUCCUCCCCUGCUGCGAGUCAGAGUCACGCUGGUAGUAAAACACAACCUGAGCGAGUGUGUGAGCGAGCUGUUAUUACCAAAAGUUGUCAUUAUGGAGGGAUCACCAUUACACACGUCAAUGGGUGCAGACCGCAGCUGACAGACGACCUGUCAUCGUGACCUCAGGGAGGGGGGCAGGGAUGAGCAGGGGCUGCACGGUGAGCGGUGUGAGGUUUUGUUGGAUGGUGUCUGAAGGAAAACCUUCUUUUGUGGGGCAGGAGUGUUGCUGUGAACUGCUGUUUGAGGUCUGUGUUUUGGACUCCAACACACACACACACACACAGACACACACACACACGCACACACUAGCACACAAUCAGAUGAAAGCAGGUUGAACAGAGGCGCAGGUGGAUAGCAUUUCUCCUCCAGACUGAUAGGGAGGGAGGGAGGCGACAUGUUUGGGAGUUUGAGCGGCUUCAUUCUGGUUUGGUGAGUUUUCGGAGCAGGUAGUGUGUACACCAUACACACAGCGUCAGAGAGACGGAGGAAGGCAAACAGAAAGUAUGACAAGGAGGUUUUUUGUUUUAUUAAGCUAAAUGAAACCGAGGGCUUGAAGAGAGUUUGGAUGGUGAUACCUAAACUUGACACCAGCUAUGCUCUGCAGCGAGGAGGGUGUACUGUUGGGUCUCGUAGGAUCAAGAAGGUAUUCUCUGGGAUGAUUAGUUAGUGUGUUUGCUCUGAGCUUUUUCUUUUCCUUCCACCUCCCUCCGUCUCUCUCUCUCUCUCUCUCUCUCUCUCUCUCUCUCUCUCUCUCUCUCUCUCGCUCUCUCUCUCUCUCUCUCUCCCCCUCCUUCUCGGCUCCUAGGAAUGUGGGGCUUAUGUCAGUGAGAGUCAGGUACAGACUCACUAAUUAUCGCUGCCCUUCAUCCCUCCCUCUGCCUCCGUUGCUCUCUCCUUCUUCUCCGUCACCUCCUGCUCUCUCCUCCACUUGGAGACCUUGUCCCCCCCACCUUCUCCUGUCCCGUCUCCUGCUGUUACGUCUACAUGUGUUGUCGUGACUGGAGGAGAGGACAAACAGAGAGGAUCUGAGUCAGGACCUGAAAAAACACCAAAAGGAGAAGAGAAACUCUGACUUGUCCUGUCUCAUUGUGUGAGCGGUUUGUGUGCUUCUGAGAUUUCUUCUCAUUGUGAUUUUUGUUUUGUUUUGUUUUGUGUUGUGUGUGUGUGUGUGUGUGUGUG